GUUUGAUCAUGGCUCAGGAUGAACGCUGGCGGCGUGCCUAACACAUGCAAGUCGAGCGAGGACUUCGGUCCUAGCGGCGGACGGGUGAGUAACGCGUGGGUAAUCUGCCUCAUACACACGGAUAACGUACCGAAAGGUACGCUAAUACGAGAUAAAGUUAAGAAAUGGCAUCAUUUCUUAAUCAAAGAAUUUCGGUAUGAGAUGAGCCCGCGUCCCAUUAGCUAGUUGGUAAGGUAAAAGCUUACCAAGGCGACGAUGGGUAGCCGACCUGAGAGGGUGAUCGGCCACACUGGAACUGAGACACGGUCCAGACUCCUACGGGAGGCAGCAGUGGGGAAUAUUGCACAAUGGGCGAAAGCCUGAUGCAGCAACGCCGCGUGAGCGAUGAAGGUCUUCGGAUCGUAAAGCUCUGUCCUCAAGGAAGAAUUUUGACGGUACUUGAGGAGGAAGCCCCGGCUAACUACGUGCCAGCAGCCGCGGUAAUACGUAGGGGGCUAGCGUUAUCCGGAAUUAUUGGGCGUAAAGGGUGCGUAGGCGGUCCUACAAGUCAGAGGUGAAAGGCUACGGCUCAACCGUAGUAAGCCUUUGAAACUGUAGGACUUGAGUGCAGGAGAGGAGAGUGGAAUUCCCAGUGUAGCGGUGAAAUGCGUAGAUAUUGGGAGGAACACCAGUUGCGAAGGCGGCUCUCUGGACUGUAACUGACGCUGAGGCACGAAAGCGUGGGGAGCGAACAGGAUUAGAUACCCUGGUAGUCCACGCCGUAAACGAUGAGUACUAGGUGUCGGGGGUUACCCCCCUCGGUGCCGCAGCUAACGCAUUAAGUACUCCGCCUGGGAAGUACGCUCGCAAGAGUGAAACUCAAAGGAAUUGACGG
rnacentral:rRNA from 1 species